rnacentral:lncRNA from 1 species
CUGGGAGUUAAAAAAAAUUCUGCCGUAGCCUACCGCCUCAUGACUUUGAGUCUGUCUGUAUUACACCAAGACAACAUAGAAGUUAUGAGCCUUGUGAAGGAGGUGCCUGCUUCGCCUUCCUCCAUGAUUGUAAAUUUCCUGAGGCCUCAUCAGCCAUGUGGAACUACUACAGAAUCCUGGCGAGGAACCUAUUCCUAUAUUUACCUCCAUCUCUCUGGUACCUGGCCUAAGUCUACACAGUAG